GGAUGAGUGACCGAGCGGUUUAAGGUGGCGGUCUUGAAAACCGUUGUACGGAAACGUACCGGGGGUUCGAAUCCCUCCUCAUCCG
rnacentral:tRNA from 1 species